UAGAGUUUGAUCCUGGCUCAGGACGAACGCUGGCGGCGUGCUUAACACAUGCAAGUCGAACGAUGAAGCCAGCUUGCUGGUGGAUUAGUGGCGAACGGGUGAGUAACACGUGGGCAACCUGCCCUCAGCUCUGGGAUAACUCCAAGAAAUUGGUGCUAAUACCGGAUAUUCAUUCAGCCUCGCAUGGGGUUGUGUGGAAAGUUUUUUCGGCUGGGGAUGGGCCCGCGGCCUAUCAGCUUGUUGGUGGGGUGAUGGCCUACCAAGGCGACGACGGGUAGCCGGCCUGAGAGGGUGACCGGCCACACUGGGACUGAGACACGGCCCAGACUCCUACGGGAGGCAGCAGUGGGGAAUAUUGCGCAAUGGGCGGAAGCCUGACGCAGCGACGCCGCGUGAGGGAUGACGGCCUUCGGGUUGUAAACCUCUUUCAGCAGGGACGAAGCGAAAGUGACGGUACCUGCAGAAGAAGCACCGGCCAACUACGUG
rnacentral:rRNA from 1 species